UCUUGGAGUAGGUCAUUGGGUGGAUCCUCUGUUUCCCUAUGUGGGCCACUGGAUGGCUCCUCCAUGUCU
ncrna:Tupaia chinensis (Chinese tree shrew) microRNA tch-mir-432 precursor